AGCCCUUUCUCGGCCCAGUGGAGCAGCUACAACCACAGCUGCUGGCACCAGUGCUGCUGCUGUUUCUGCUUCUGCCACAGCAUCUGGCCCAGGCUCUGGCUCUGCCCCAGAGGCUGGCCCUGCCCCUGGUUUCCCCUUCCCUCCUCCCUGGAUGGGUAUGCCCCUGCCUCCACCCUUUGCCUUCCCCCCAAUGCCCGUGCCCCCUGCGGGCUUUGCUGGGCUGACCCCAGAGGAGCUACGAGCUCUGGAGGGCCAUGAGCGGCAGCACCUGGAGGCCCGGCUGCAGAGCCUGCGUAACAUCCACACAUUGCUGGACGCCGCCAUGCUGCAGAUCAACCAGUACCUCACCGUGCUGGCCUCCUUGGGGUGUGUCUGUACAGGGGAAGCAGAGUGGGUUUGGUGGGUCAGGAGUGGAGCUGCCAAGAGGUCCCCAGCAGUGGUUCUUGGCCUUUGACACCUGCCAAUUCAGGCUGCCUAUCUACAGGUCCACCAAGGGUCUCCAGGAGUUCUUGGUAACUCCUGGUGCCUUUAUUUCCCACUCCAGAAAGCAUGUCUGGAUCUAAGUAGGAGUGAUGUUUAUUCGAGAGCUGACUUUAGAUCUUAUUCCUUUUUAUUUUUCUAAAGUCAAAUUAUUCAGAAUUUGCAGUGCUUUAGUUCAUCACAUGAUAUUCUUCUGAGAUGUGGUGACACUUAGAUUGGCAAUUGCUGCCCCCAAACUGAGGGAGCGAAUAAUAGGAAGUCACUUGGAGCCAUCCUGGCCCAAGUUCAAGCGCUGGUCCCAUCACUCAUUUUUGACCUCUCAUUAGUUGAAUAAAGGGGUCUUAAUUCAUAUUCAUAAGUGAUGUGUACUGCUAGAUACACACCUAUAAUCAGCACUUUGGAAGGCUGAGGCAGGAGGAUUGUUUGAGCCUAGGAAUUUGAGGGUGCAGUGAGCUAUGAUUGUGCCACUAAAUUCCAGCUUUGGUGACAGAGCCGAGACGCUGUCUUUUAAAAAAGUGACAUGUACAUAAUGCCUGGCAUCUAGCAGUGACAGCACAGGCUUGGAGAGGAACUUGAGUCCAAGGCUUGAGCAUUGUGGCUUAUUGAGUGAGUCCCCUAUAAGGUGCCUGACUCCCCAGGGUGGAGACUGCAGGGUAAGAGUGAACAGGUCAACAGUCCCUGCCUGCAAGCACCUUACAGCUAAGGGAUAGAAUCAUUUGGCCCUUGAGUCCAGUCACCCUGUCUGAGUUCAUUCAGCAUGUUCACUUGUGUUUGCCAGGCACUGGGGCCACAAGGGCACAUCAUUCUAUACUCUGUUCUGCAAGGCUCACCAAGGGCAGGAGAAUCUGCCCAACCUUGGAUGCCAAGGCCAGGCCCGCCUCUCGUCCCUUCUCUUCCCAGGCCCCCCCGGCCUGCCACUUCAGUCAACUCCACUGAGGAGACUGCCACUACAGUUGUUGCUGCUGCCUCCUCCACCAGCAUCCCUAGCUCAGAGGCCACGACCCCAACCCCAGGAGCCUCCCCACCAGCCCCUGAAAUGGAAAGGCCUCCAGGUAGGUGUGAUUGGCCUCCAGCCGGGGGAGCAGGGAACUUCUCUAGGUUCCACUUCCAGUCUCUCUGUCCCCAGCUCCUGAGUCAGUGGGCACAGAGGAGAUGCCUGAGGAUGGAGAGCCUGAUGCAGCAGAGCUCCGCCGGCGCCGCCUGCAGAAGCUGGAGUCUCCUGUUGCCCACUGACACUGCCCCAGCCCAGCCCCAGCCCCUGCUCUUUUGAGCAGCCCUCGCUGGAACAUGUCCUGCCACCAAGUGCCAGCUCCCUCUCUGUCUGCACCAGGGAGUAGUACCCCCAGCUCUGAGAAAGAGGCGGCAUCCCCUAGGCCAAGUGGAAAGAGGCUGGGGUUCCCAUUUGACUCCAGUCCCAGGCAGCCAUGGGGAUCUCGGGUCAGUUCCAGCCUUCCUCUCCAACUCUUCAGCCCUGUGUUCUGCUGGGGCCAUGAAGGCAGAAGGUUUAGCCUCUGAGAAGCCCUCUUCUUCCCCCACCCCUUUCCAGGAGAAGGGGCUGCCCCUCCAAGCCCUACUUGUAUGUGCGGAGUCACACUGCAAUGCCGAACAGUAUUAGCUCCCGUUCCCAAGUGUGGACUCCAGAGGGGCUGGAGGCAAGCUAUGAACUUGCUCGCUGGCCCACCCCUAAGACUGGUACCCAUUUCCUUUUCUUACCCUGAUCUCCCCAGAAGCCUCUUGUGGUGGUGGCUGUGCCCCCUAUGCCCUGUGGCAUUUCUGCGUCUUACUGGCAACCACACAACUCAGGGAAAGGAAUGCCUGGGAGUGGGGGUGCAGGCGGGCAGCACUGAGGGACCCUGCCCCGCCCCUCCCCCCAGGCCCCUUUCCCCUGCAGCUUCUCAAGUGAGACUGACCUGUCUCACCCAGCAGCCACUGCCCAGCCGCACUCCAGGCAAGGGCCAGUGCGCCUGCUCCUGACCACUGCAAUCCCAGCGCCCAAGGAAGGCCACUUCUCAACUGGCAGAACCUCUGAAGUUUAGAAUUGGAAUUACUUCCUUACUAGUGUCUUUUGGCUUAAAUUUUGUCUUUUGAAGUUGAAUGCUUAAUCCCGGGAAAGAGGAACAGGAGUGCCAGACUCCUGGUCUUUCCAGUUUAGAAAAGGCUCUGUGCCAAGGAGGGACCACAGGAGCUGGGACCUGCCUGCCCCUGUCUUUUCCCCUUGGUUUUGUGUUACAAGAGUUGUUGGAGACAGUUUCAGAUGAUUAUUUAAUUUGUAAAUAUUGUACAAAUUUUAAUAGCUUAAAUUGUAUAUACAGCCAAAUAAAAACUUGCAUUAACAAUUGGUGGGGUUUGUGUCACAGAAUCGAUCAAAUCAGUGUCGGGCUCCUUGCUGUGGCUGUACACUUGAAAAUGGAAUGGAAUCUCCAGGAGUGAGGGUUUCCAUGGAAGCCAGCACUAUCCUUGGGGACACCACUGACCAUUAACAGAUUAGGAAGAUGUGCCCAUUUUACACACAGAGAAGCAGCCCAGAGUUCAGUGCCCUGCUUCAGGGCAGAGACCAAGUUGGGGAGUCAGGAACUGAAAGCUGUCUUAGCCAGUUUGGGGGUAGGGUGGGGUCUCAGGCCUUUGGCCCCUGUGACUCCAAGUAUAAGGCAUAUAUGAAGGCUAGUGAGCUGGGGUUGGGAUGGGAUGGCAGGGUGAAAGGUCAGCAUAUUCCUGCCUGCAAACCCCUCCCCAGCCUUGAUUGCAGGUCAGGAGGCUGCGGGGGGAUGUCCCUAUGCUGGCUGUGAGUUCCCAGCCACUCCCUUGUGGUCAGGCCAGCAAGUCUGGUCUGCAAUGGAACAGUGACCAAGAACGUGCCUCCUACCUCUCUAUCAGAGCCCGGGGCUAACGUGGGCACUCUGUGCCCCAGUGCCAGCACUGUACUUUGAACAGAAGAUCUCCAAGACCCAUGCCCGAGUCAUCUGUGUUCUCCAUAACCUGCACCAAACAAGAUCUGGCCUAGAGCAAAGGCUUGGGGAUAUUUGCAACAGUGAGCUUUGGAGGGCCAAGGAAACAAAGUGCCCAGUGGCUCUGCCCUGUGCUACCUUCCCCUAAACUGGGGUUGGGCUACUGCUUCCACCAAAUAACAACUAGAAUUUGAAUUGCUGAGCCCAAGGAAAGAAAAACAAAACAGGCCAAGGUGGACCAGGCACGUGGCUCAUGCCUAUAAUCCCAACGCUUUGGGAGGCCAAGGUGGGCGGAUCACUUCGAGUCAGGAGUUUGAGACCAGCCUGGCCAACAUGGUGAAACCCCAUCUCUACUAAAAAUACAAAAAUUAGCAGGCUGUGGUGGUGGGCGCCUGUAAUCCCAGCUACUCAAGAGGCUGAGGCAGGAGAAUCCCUUGAUCCCAGAGGUGGAAGUUGCAGUGAGCCAAGAUCAUGCCACUGCACUCCACCCUGGGCAACAGAGUGAGACUCCGUCUCAGAAAACAAAAAAGAACAGGCCAAGAUAGGAGGGAGAGAAAGCUGCUGACGCCCCCCAUUAGCCUGGUGAUCCCUAUUUGGUCUCCCACAUUAGGCACUCUCCCCCAGCAUGUACAUAGAGUUGUUUUCUCCUUUAUGCAAGCAAGGCCUGACCCCAAAGUCCUUUAGCCCUAGUUUCUGUAUCCCCUGUCUCAGGGGCUCCAACACCCACCUCCCUCCUCCUGAGGCCCCCUAGACUUGAUCCACAGGGCAUGCUGACAUGCAGGCUGCUCGGCUGGGCCUCAGAAGCCUUUCUCCAAGAGCCAGGCUUUAAGCUCCUGGUCAAAGUAGCCCUUGAUCCGUAGGGUACCUGUCACCUCAUUGACCUGGGUGACGGGUGUCUUCCCCAGCAGCGGGCUCAGAAAAUCUUCCACAUCUUUCUGCA
rnacentral:lncRNA from 1 species